CUCUAAAUAACAUGCAUUGGCCAGAAAUGGACUUUUUUUAAACCGUUGUUCAUGCUUGUGGAAGUCGCUGUAGAUCAAGGAUCUAGAAGUCACUUUCAAUCAAUGUGUACACUUUCAGCAAUUGAAUAAAUAAAUUGAUCUCGGACAAAUUAUGGUCUUUCCUACUGUCUGAAUGAGCCGACUCUCUGGACGUAUGACGUGUGGGGAGGUGUGAACAGUAAUCAUGCCCCUGAAGAGGACGCUGAGACGUCACCCUGGAAUGCCCUGAUAGCUCUUGAUUGGAAGUGGAAUUUUGCCUCUUGUCAAAGCCUGUCAAGACCUUAUAACAGUGUUUAUACGUGUUUGCUCUUCAAUCAUAUUUAAACAUCAUUAACCUGACUCUGCCUAAUGUAGUGAAAGAAAUUGCUUCCAGAAAUGAAAGACUGGUAGUCUGCUGGGGCUUUCUAUAUGGGCCUUUCUGAAGAUGCCAAAAAGCAAUGAAAUUAUCCAUCUGAGGCAACAUCCUGAAUCUUUUCUGUACCCUCUCCAGCACUUUCACAUCCUUUCUAUA